UGUUCUCUCCAGAUUAAUUUAUCCCAACAGCCCGCGUAUAAAACAUGGAAAUUGGCAAGCUGGUUCUAAAAAACAUAUUGUCCUGCCAAGGACCUGGAAUACAACCAAACACUUUUCAAAAAGAAAAACUUUCUCACAUCCGGUUCAUGUGGAUGUCUAACCAUGUUUUGUGCUGGAAAUUCUAAAGUUUCGUCUACUUCAUCCCAGGUUGCGACAUGCCUGUGUGAGGCCGGGACAAGCCACGGGGCCACCUGCCCGCCCUGCACUGCGCUCCGGGGCUGGUGGCUCCGGCCGGGAUUCGGGAUGACCCCUCCUGCCAAUCCGCUGCUGAGUGGGUCUGGACCCUUAUCCGCAAGGACUCGGGUCUUUAAUAUCGCAGAGGCCAGGUGCGCGUGGGUGACCUGCCCCGUGGUGACCAGGGGAGGUGACGGGCGUAGAGGGGACAGGGAGACCGCCCAUCAGGUUGGAGGCUCUGCCCCUGGAUCCGAAGCCUGGCUGCCCUGGGCCCCGCGCUCGGUCGCACUUGAAUAUUUCCACGUGUAGACACGCAGGACGACCCCGAAAUGCGGAGACUCAACUUACCGAGCGAAGUUGCAGAAAUAUUCUGAGGACAGCCCGGGUGGCUCAGUGGUUUAGCGCCGCCUUCAGCCCAGGGC